rnacentral:misc_RNA from 1 species
CCUUGCUCACUGCUGUGCCAUCUGCGUUUCAAGCCCGCACACAUCUGCAGAGACAUCCUCCCUCUUUUUCUCCCCUCUCUUUGUCCCUGUUGUUUCUCCGAGGAAGCCGACGCGAUGCGGCUGGGGGUUAGGCCAUUCACCGCAUCGUGUUUUUUCUAUCCCCAGCCAACUCGCCAAAAUGCCCAUCAAGGCAAAGGCGGUAGACAGAAGCAAAACAGCGGCCUUCGAUCGAGGCCACUUCGCGGUAAGCUCAGGAGCAGCACAAGCAGAUCUGCCAAAGCAGUCCUAUUACUAUGAGGGAGAGCGGCGUUACACAGGGGCCGACGCGACCAGAUCUGACUCGUCGUCGUCCACGUCCUCGGUGUCGAGCAGUCGAAGCCCCAGCCCAUACACUGUGGGUUGGCAACGCCACGCUGCUGGUCCUCGGCUGGAUCACGGCAGCAGCGAAGGCGACUGGGAUAUGAGCGAUGAUGAGGAGGUUGUCCGACGCGCUCGUGCGGCAACGCGGGCGCUACUCGGAAGCUCGUGGCCAGCGAGUGCGGCAGUUUCGAGCACCACUAGUCGUGAAGGGGGCGGACUUGCUGCGCCACCAAACGCACGCCUGGAAAGGUACCUGCGAGGGAGGGCAUCAUCCAUGCUGCCCAUAAAGCACGCGGCGCUGACCACUUCUGCACCGGCUCCCAACUCACGUGCAACGACGGUGAGGAGUACUUCCACCAGCGCUGAGGAGGAGUCCUCCCAGCCACAGAGCGGGCAUCACUGCAAAAACCACGACCCCAAAGCAUCGCCGACAACCAGCGACGUAUGUGGCGUUGCCAACGACGCCACUACUACGUCGGCGACUCUCCCAUCCGCAGUAGCGAGAGCACUUCAGUGGCAGACAACUAACCCUGAGUUUCAGCAGCUUAUGGCUCUCCUCGCGCAAGAUGUGCAGCGCGAACGGUGUGAUGACCUCCCGCCUGCUGCGAUAGCCAUGGCUGGCGCAUCUGCUGAGGGGGCGUGGCCGCGGUCCCUGCCGUCCUACUCAACCACGGGGCCAACCUCAACACACACGUACGCCCCCCCGUCACGAACGUUUGCGGCGCUGGAGGACAACGCGCUGGAGCAGCUCUACGAAGACUGGUGCCUGCAGCGCGGCGAGGGCGACGAGGCGGAGGGGAGCGCGGGGCACGCAUCCGGAGACGCAGACGCCAUCGUCCCUGAGGUGUUCAUUGCCGCAGACCACCGCGCUGCCGCCUUUUCCAUCGCUGCGUCGGCGGCGCAUCAGUCCAUUUUGGCAUCGCUGCAGCACGAAAGCACCGCGAUGAGUGAUGCCGGCACUGGGGUGUGCCCGCACUCAGUUUCCGACGCUCCCUUUACAUGGGAAGAGCUUCUCCGAGGUGAGAUGACGCGCCGUAACACACGUCAUGGCUCCGCGGACGGCCCAGGAGGCGGCGUGAUGCUGAACGAUCCAGAUGCGCUAGUUGACCAGGCAACUCGCCGGCUGCAGCGCUUUCUUCAGUCCGUGGCAUGCGUGGAGCGACUUGUGCGCGACAGGCGCUUCAUGCGCAGCGUGGCCGUUUUCCUCUACGAGCAUCACAAAGUCUUCCUGCCGCACUAUCGCCCUGCCGCCUCCUCGUCAAAGGCAGCGGAGGCCGCCAUGACCGAUGACCGAGGUGAGGACCUCCACACGGAUAUCGCGGCGCAUGCGGAUGUGGAGCACACACACGCGGAGCAUCGCGUGUACGAGGAGUUCGGGGAGCGGAUGUCAGCUGCGCUGCUGUCGGUGCUGACCCACCACGUGCCCGGCUUUGACGAGGCCGAGUUUGUGGAGGCCCUCUACGAGACUCCAGCCGCCUACGCGAUGGCGGAGGACGCUAGGGCUGCUGUCGGGGAUCACCCAAUGCGCGGGUGCCUACAGAGUGUCCUGUCCUUUCCCGCGUGGCGUCUGCUGUUGGCGAUGAGUGGAUUCGAGAGUUUCUUUCUGUGGAUGAUGGACUACAUCUACGAGGAGUACUACCUCGACACCAUAAGUGAAGAGUGCGCGCCGUCAGUUGCCGUGGCUGGCGUACGUGGUCUGCGUGCACUUAUUCGGUCCACGUACGGCCGCCCAGCCGACGCGGGCGCGGCUGAUGCGUCCGCAGAGGAGGCACGAAUCAGCGCUGCCGUGCCGGGCGCGACGGGGCGACAGGAGACGCUGCUGCACACGCCAGCGCCCGACUGCGCGAGUGCCUCUGUCGCGCCUCGUCCUGCAUCGGAGCCGCAUCAUCCUACCCUGCAGCGAUCGCCGCUGCUCACGUGUCUGUCGCACACGCCUCCUCCGCCUGAAACGGCAGCCCCCCCAUUACGUGCCUCACUGUUAUCAAGUGGACGGGGAAGCGGCGAGUCGCUGCGCAAGUUCUUCCCUACUCCUCCCGCGAGCGCCGAGGGGGCAAGCCGUCGGCUGAAUGGCACCGGUAUAGCACCCUAUCUCAAGCGGAAAACUACACACCCCGGAAGGGACCUACCUCCGAUAGCGCCGAAUGCCAACGGAAUGAUGUCAGCCAGCUGCAGCAUGAAGGCGACGUUCAGUGAGUUGUCGUCUUCGGCGAGUGGGCUGGCGUCGUCGCCGCCCCAGCGGCGGAGUGAGAGAAAUGUCGAGCAAGCGCCCGUAGCGGAAUCGAACCACGCCUUCACGUCCUGCACUGACGACGCACUAGAACGACCGGCGCGCUCCGUCGCGCCGAAAACCUCCACCGGGGUGACGGACCCGAUCGCAAAUGCGUCCGCCAGGCAAUGCGGAGGUGCUGCCCGGAGCAAAACCCGCUUCUCAUCCACCACGCGCAUCAACAUUGGCACCGCGCGGAAGCUAAAGCCGCAGAAUCCACGGCUAAAUCACUGAAGGAGCAUGUGAUGGACUACGCCACGACCCCCGCGCACCCGCACCGUGCGUCCCCUUCCCCCUGCUGCCCUCCCCGCUCACUGCCGUCGGUCUGCUUUGGUUACGCGGAGGAGGGGGCGGAGGUGGAAGCCGGGGUCGUCUCUCUGUCCAUGUAACUUCGUCCUACACCCGGAGGACGGGAGGAUAACUCCAUGCGUGGUGCCGCAGGGCCCAGUACCCCCACCCUCUCUCUCUCUCUGGAGAAGCCGGGAGGCCACCCUAUCGCUGACCAAGUGCCGAACCACCUGUGGUGGUGACAGGGUCGCAGGCGCCGGCGCCGUGCUGGAGGUCCAGGCGACGUAUCGCUGCUGAUGUAGUUGGCCGGGUCCUGGCUGGGCGUUGCGUCGGGGCGACCGGCGACAGUGAACACGCGUGUGCCAUCCAUAUGAUUCGGCAGCGUGUCACCGCGUCUCGAGAGUAACCCGCCCGGGCCCCUACACCGCCCACUGGUGUGCGGGCGGGGGCAGCGGCGCCCGCGCCCAUUCCGAGAAGGGAGGGAGGCACCAGCUGGCGACCGGCGAGGCGGCGAGUGGGUGGGGUAGAGCUCGAGGGCAGGUGGCCGUGCUGGGAUGACCGGGUCGGCGCACUGCUGCAACGCGCGUGCCUUGCGCUGCUUCGCCCCACACGAUGGGGUCUGUGACAGGCCGGGUGGGGGUAGAGUGGAAAUAACUGAUGUUCUAUAGGAGAAUGUCCGCAUUGAACAAAAAAUGUCGUUUUUUUCAGCCGAUCUAUGGCAGAUGGACAGCAACCGUCUAGUUUG